UCCUGGAUCCUCCCCAGGGGACAGCAAUGUAUAAAUSGUUACAUUAAUUCAGGCAUCCAUUACUUGUUUUCCAGGAGGUCAUCUGGUUAAUACUCAGUGUAAAGAAGGACAUCAGAGAUCUGCUUUGUGUUGUAAAAUGGCAUAUGAACUGAAUUUCUUUUGG